rnacentral:lncRNA from 1 species
AGUUUAGAACUGAUAGAGCUAUCCAGUAUAAAUAAAGUGUUUAGGUUUUCUCCUGUAGUAACACUGGAUCAAUAAGAGAUGAUCCUUACUGGACCUCUAGGUAGAACAGUUUAGAACUGAUAGAGCUAUCCAGUCUUGUUGAGUGAAUAACCAGUUAAUUUGUAUUUUCAGUUUCAACAUGCUGAGAUUACCAGAGUACAGAUCAGAAGAUGAAUUGAAGGAGAGAUUACUGGUAGCGUUACGAUGUGGAAGUCAAGGAUUUGACUUUGCCUGAAGAAAGAAUUUACCAAUUCCCUUUUUCAAUUAACGCAAAUACCUGGGCACCACUGUUCUGAUAAUGCAAGCGCAAAAUGAAACCGUAAUGACAUUAAUUGGAUUCGGUCUAUUGUCAUUAAAUAAACACUUUUAUAAUUUAUUGGGAAAUUGGUGGCAUACGAAUUGCCAAAAACUAAAAAAUUCAAUUUCAAUGCAUGAAUUUGGUGCAGAUGUUAUUGAACCAGUAGCUCUAUAUGCAAUUAAAAUUUAUAUAAUUUUAAUUAAAAAUUCAAAUGAAUGUACAUGAAUUGAAAUGCAAUUAAUCUAUGUACAAUUAAAAUGUGUAUCAGUACAGUAAUGUCUUAAUUCUGAAUAUCAAAUAAAUUUCUGUAAAAUAUUUUUAAAUUGUACCCAAGAGACUUCCAGCCAAUUGUCAACAGCAAACACGAACCAAUCACUGAUACGUGGAAUGUUUUUAAUAACCAAUGGAAUGCAAGAACUUUGCAUUGUUGACAGCCAAUCAGAAUGCAAGAAUUUCCCUGUGGUUUUCAAAAGACAAAGGAUAAGCUCGCACCUUCUUGAUCGCCCCAACAUGCACGUUGU